UACGGAGGGGGCUAGCGUUGUUCGGAAUUAUUGGGCGUAAAGCGCACGUAGGCGGCUUUGUAAGUCAGGGGUGAAAUCCCGAGGCUCAACCUCGGAACUGCCUUUGAUACUGCAAAUCUCGAGUCCGGAAGAGGUGAGUGGAAUUCCUAGUGUAGAGGUGAAAUUCGUAGAUAUUAGGAAGAACACCAGUGGCGAAGGCGGCUCACUGGUCCGGUACUGACGCUGAGGUGCGAAAGCGUGGGGAGCAAACAGG
rnacentral:rRNA from 1 species